CCCACUCUGUUACAGCACAGAGGAAAAUUGAGGCAAUCACCCAGGGUACGUAGGCGAAGUUGGAGCUUUGCUGGAAUGGUAGAAACAGUUGCCUUCAUUUUUCUCUCUGUGCUGGCAGUAGUUAUCAGCCGCACCACCGAGUGAUUUUAUUUAUAUAUUUUAUUUCCCUUGUUUUUUCAAAAACCAGUGAAAGUCACCUCAUAAUUUAGAAUAUUAAAGGAUCCACUAGUUCUAGUCGGCCUUGGGAUCCUAAGGGAAACUAAGUGUUUAGAAAACCCUCCUCCUACUGCUCAGACACCCUCCACACUCUGAAAUUACCCCAACCGGCUCAUAAUUGGGACCAGCUGGCAGGAUGAGAGAGGAGGCCCCUGCACCGAGCCAGGAAUCGCGUUACAAAUUUCAUCCCUAGAAAGAAGCUUGACUUGCUCCUUUAAGGGUUAAGAGGUAGGAGGUCAAAGCACAGCGCUUAGGAGCUGGGCUUUAAAUUGGCUACAGGGAACCUGAAAACAAAGGGUGUUCACAUUAGCAACCGUGGCUCCUUGCUUUGUCUAGGACAAAGUGUGUGCAAAAUAGCCCAGGCGACCGUGCUGGGCUACAGCCUCCGCCGAAUUUCACUUUACAGCCUGUCUUUCCAGAACUGGCAUCGUUAAUUUGUAUGCUGCCCAAAAGCUGUCCUUUUCCCAAAGCCCUCCUCACAAAGCAGAUGCAGACCUCCAGAAGUGCACCGGAAAUAGGAGUCAAUUUCAAGUGUCAGAAACCAAGACCCCUGACUGGUUCGGCAUCUGUCCCUGCAAGACUUAGAAAACCAACCCAGUGCUUAAGAGGGAGAAGUAGAGAUGAAAGAUGAAAGAUGGAGCAGCGGAAUCAAGAGAAGGAAUUAGCAGAACGGGAUCAGUGCAUUGAGGCUCCGAAGGAUAAAGUGACUUCUCCGUCGCUCACAGCCGACAUGUGGGAAAUUACAGUCUUCCAAUCCUUUGAAGUUAGCCAGGGCCCUAUGGCUACCUUGGAACAAUGUUGCCAGCCACUGUCCUAUGUAUCACUUCCGGAGGAAGCUUUUCAGUGCUGUGGGCACGGUUCUCCCUGCUUUUCUCCUGCCACACUCACGAAGGAGUCACAAACUAAGGUAAAGCAGCAAAGUGUGGAAGGGCUUCCGUUAGCCUGGAUCCCUGAGGCAUCUCAUGGAGAACCUGAAGAGUCACCCGGGACCUUGGUGGAUGUUGCACGAAUGAGAAAUGAAACUUUGCUGUGUUAUACCAUGAAACUUGGGGGUGUUCGUUAUCACAGUGUCGCCUGUCCUAUCCUGGUGGGUACAGUGUUUGGUUUUCCCUUUAAUUUUCACUGAAAAAAACCUGAAUCUGCCUUAGUUAGCUCAUUGGUCCGAGGAUGGUUCUAACAAGGCCAUGGACACAGAUUUAAUCUCCACGCAGGUCAAUUAAGUUCAUGGAGAGAAAAAUUAUGUGAGAGGCGCCUGGGUGGCUUAGUCAGUUGGGCGUCCAUCUUCGGCUCAGUUCAUGAUCUCACAGUUCCUGGGUUCAAGCCUCACGUCAGGCUCUCCGCUGUCAGCACAGACCCCCUUGAGGUCCUCUGUCCCCCUCUCUC